rnacentral:misc_RNA from 1 species
GAAAUGCGAUAAUUAAUGUGAAUUGCAGAAUUCAGUGAAUCAUCGAGUCUUUGAACGCACAUUGCGCCCCCUGGUAUUCCGGGGGGCAUGCCUGUCCGAGCGUCAUUGCUGCCCUCAAGCACGGCUUGUGUGUUGGGCUUCCGUCCCUGGCAACGGGGACGGGCCCAAAAGGCAGUGGCGGCACCAUGUCUGGUCCUCGAGCGUAUGGGGCUUUGUCACCCGCUCCCGUAGGUCCAGCUGGCAGCUAGCCUCGCAACCAAUCUUUUUAACCAGGUUGACCUCGGAUCAGGUAGGGAUACCCGCUGAUCUUAAGC